rnacentral:rRNA from 1 species
AUGAAGAACACGAGAGAAAGAGGAGAUAAACACAAGGGAAACAAGCACAAAUCAACACACAAGUGGCAACGCAAGAUACACAUGGAUAAUUCCUUGAUCCCAGCCAUCCAUAAGAGACGGAGGGAGCAAGAUAGAGUUCUUCCCCAAAUCCUAAUACAAGGAGGGUUUGUGCUGGCCUUGUACUCCACGGAGUUCUCCCUCGGGAGGUCUUGUACUCCCAUGAAGUCCCUUCAAGAGGAGGCUUUAAUCUCCACUAGGAGAGUUCCCACAAGGAGAGAUACAUUGGCAAAGCUCUAUGUUUGA